rnacentral:rRNA from 1 species
AAAUUGAAGAGUUUGAUCAUGGCUCAGAUUGAACGCUGGCGGCAGGCCUAACACAUGCAAGUCGAGCGGAAACGAGUUAUCUGAACCUUCGGGGACGAUAACGGCGUCGAGCGGCGGACGGGUGAGUAAUGCCUAGGAAAUUGCCCUGAUGUGGGGGAUAACCAUUGGAAACGAUGGCUAAUACCGCAUGAUGCCUACGGGCCAAAGAGGGGGACCUUCGGGCCUCUCGCGUCAGGAUAUGCCUAGGUGGGAUUAGCUAGUUGGUGAGGUAAGGGCUCACCAAGGCGACGAUCCCUAGCUGGUCUGAGAGGAUGAUCAGCCACACUGGAACUGAGACACGGUCCAGACUCCUACGGGAGGCAGCAGUGGGGAAUAUUGCACAAUGGGCGCAAGCCUGAUGCAGCCAUGCCGCGUGUGUGAAGAAGGCCUUCGGGUUGUAAAGCACUUUCAGUCGUGAGGAAGGUAGUGUAGUUAAUAGCUGCAUUAUUUGACGUUAGCGACAGAAGAAGCACCGGCUAACUCCGUGCCAGCAGCCGCGGUAAUACGGAGGGUGCGAGCGUUAAUCGGAAUUACUGGGCGUAAAGCGCAUGCAGGUGGUUUGUUAAGUCAGAUGUGAAAGCCCGGGGCUCAACCUCGGAAUUGCAUUUGAAACUGGCAGACUAGAGUACUGUAGAGGGGGGUAGAAUUUCAGGUGUAGCGGUGAAAUGCGUAGAGAUCUGAAGGAAUACCGGUGGCGAAGGCGGCCCCCUGGACAGAUACUGACACUCAGAUGCGAAAGCGUGGGGAGCAAACAGGAUUAGAUACCCUGGUAGUCCACGCCGUAAACGAUGUCUACUUGGAGGUUGUGGCCUUGAGCCGUGGCUUUCGGAGCUAACGCGUUAAGUAGACCGCCUGGGGAGUACGGUCGCAAGAUUAAAACUCAAAUGAAUUGACGGGGGCCCGCACAAGCGGUGGAGCAUGUGGUUUAAUUCGAUGCAACGCGAAGAACCUUACCUACUCUUGACAUCCAGAGAACUUUCCAGAGAUGGAUUGGUGCCUUCGGGAACUCUGAGACAGGUGCUGCAUGGCUGUCGUCAGCUCGUGUUGUGAAAUGUUGGGUUAAGUCCCGCAACGAGCGCAACCCUUAUCCUUGUUUGCCAGCGAGUAAUGUCGGGAACUCCAGGGAGACUGCCGGUGAUAAACCGGAGGAAGGUGGGGACGACGUCAAGUCAUCAUGGCCCUUACGAGUAGGGCUACACACGUGCUACAAUGGCGCAUACAGAGGGCAGCCAACUUGCGAAAGUGAGCGAAUCCCAAAAAGUGCGUCGUAGUCCGGAUUGGAGUCUGCAACUCGACUCCAUGAAGUCGGAAUCGCUAGUAAUCGUGGAUCAGAAUGCCACGGUGAAUACGUUCCCGGGCCUUGUACACACCGCCCGUCACACCAUGGGAGUGGGCUGCAAAAGAAGUAGGUAGUUUAACCUUCGGGGGGACGCUUACCACUUUGUGGUUCAUGACUGGGGUGAAGUCGUAACAAGGUAGCGCUAGGGGAACCUGGCGCUGGAUCACCUCCUUAUACGAUGAU